AAGCAUGAGCUUUUAUACAGUAGGGAGGUACAGUACAUUAACACAGCAGGGAGGGACAGUACAUUAACACAGUAGGGAGGGACAGUACAUUAACACAGUAGGGAGGGACAGUACAUUAACACAGUAGGGAGGGACAGUACAUUAACACAGUAGGGAGGGACAGUACAUUAACACAGUGGGGAGAGACAGUACAUUAACACAGUAGGGAGGGACAGUACAUUAACACAGUAGGGAGGUACAGUACAUUAACACAGUAGGGAGGUACAGUACAUUAACACAGUAGGGAGGUACAGUACAUUAACACAGUAGGGAGGGACAGUACAUUAACACAGUAGGGAGGUACAGUACAUUAACACAGUAGGGAGGGACAGUACAUUAACACAGUAGGGAGGGACAGUACAUUAACACAGUAGGGAGGGACAGUACAUUAACACAGUAGGAAGGGACAGUACAUUAACACAGUAAGGAGGUACAGUACAUUAACACAGUAGGGAGGUACAGUACAUUAACACAGUAGGGAGGGACAGUACAUUAACACAGUAGGGAGGUACAGUACAUUAACACAGCAGGGAGGUACAGUACAUUAACACAGUAGGGAGGUACAGUACAUUAACACAGUAGGGAGGGACAGUACAUUAACACAGUAGGGAGGGACAGUACAUUAACACAGUAGGGUGGGACAGUACAUUCAUGCUGUAGGGAGGGACAGUACAUUAACACAGUAGGGUGGGACAGUACAUUCAUGCUGUAGGGAGGGACAGUACAUUAACACAGUAGGGUGGGACAGUACAUUAACACAGUAGGGAGGUACAGUACAUUAACACAGUAGGGAGGGACAGUACAUUCAUGCUGUAGGGAGGGACAGUACAUUCAUGCUGUAGGAAGGGACAGUACAUUAACACUGUAGGGAGGUACAGUACAUUAACACAGUAGGGUGGGACAGUACAUUAACACAGUAGGGAGGGACAGUACAUUAACACAGUAGGGAGAGACAGUACAUUAACACUGUAGGGAGGUACAGUACAUUAACACAGUAGGGUGGGACAGUACAUUAACACAGUAGGGUGGGACAGUACAUUCAUGCUGUAGGGAGGGACAGUACAUUCAUGCUGUAGGGAGGGACAGUACAUUCAUGCUGUAGGGAGGGACAGUACAUUAACACAGUAGGGU